rnacentral:rRNA from 1 species
AGUGGCGAACGGGUGAGUAACACGUGAGUAACCUGCCCUUGACUCUGGGAUAAGCGCUGGAAACGGCGUCUAAUACCGGAUACGACCUGCCCCGGCAUCGGGUGCGGGUGGAAAGUUUUUCGGUCAAGGAUGGACUCGCGGCCUAUCAGGUAGUUGGUGAGGUAAUGGCUCACCAAGCCGACGACGGGUAGCCGGCCUGAGAGGGUGACCGGCCACACUGGGACUGAGACACGGCCCAGACUCCUACGGGAGGCAGCAGUGGGGAAUAUUGCACAAUGGGCGAAAGCCUGAUGCAGCAACGCCGCGUGGGGGAUGACGGCCUUCGGGUUGUAAACCUCUUUUAGUAGGGAAGAAGGGCUUCGGCUUGACGGUACCUGCAGAAAAAGCACCGGCUAACUACGUGCCAGCAGCCGCGGUAAUACGUAGGGUGCAAGCGUUGUCCGGAAUUAUUGGGCGUAAAGAGCUCGUAGGCGGUUUGUCGCGUCUGCUGUGAAAACCCGAGGCUCAACCUCGGGCCUGCAGUGGGUACGGGCAGACUAGAGUGCGGUAGGGGAGAAUGGAAUUCCUGGUGUAGCGGUGGAAUGCGCAGAUAUCAGGAGGAACACCGAUGGCGGAAGGCAGUUCUCUGGGCCGUUACUGACGCUGAGGAGCGAAAGCGUGGGGAGCGAACAGGAUUAGAUACCCUGGUAGUCCACGCCGUAAACGUUGGGAACUAGAUGUGGGGACCUUUCCACGGUCUCCGUGUCGCAGCUAACGCAUUAAGUUCCCCGCCUGGGGAGUACGGCCGCAAGGCUAAAACUCAAAGGAAUUGACGGGGGCCCGCACAAGCGGCGGAGCAUGCGGAUUAAUUCGAUGCAACGCGAAGAACCUUACCAAGGCUUGACAUAUACCGGAAACUUCCAGAAAUGGUUGCCCCGCAAGGUCGGUAUACAGGUGGUGCAUGGUUGUCGUCAGCUCGUGUCGUGAGAUGUUGGGUUAAGUCCCGCAACGAGCGCAACCCUCGUUCUAUGUUGCCAGCACGUCAUGGUGGGAACUCAUAGGAGACUGCCGGGGUCAACUCGGAGGAAGGUGGGGAUGACGUCAAAUCAUCAUGCCCCUUAUGUCUUGGGCUUCACGCAUGCUACAAUGGCCGGUACAAAGGGCUGCGAUACCGUAAGGUGGAGCGAAUCCCAAAAAGCCGGUCUCAGUUCGGAUUGAGGUCUGCAACUCGACCUCAUGAAGUCGGAGUCGCUAGUAAUCGCAGAUCAGCAACGCUGCGGUGAAUACGUUCCCGGGCCUUGUACACACCGCCCGUCAAGUCAUGAAAGUCGGUAACACCCGAAGCCAGUG